rnacentral:rRNA from 1 species
AACGAACGCUGGCGGCAGGCUUAACACAUGCAAGUCGAACGCCCCGCAAGGGGAGUGGCGCACGGGUGAGUAACGCGUGGAUAUCUGCCUUUUGGUUCGGAAUAACCCCGGGAAACUGGGGCUAAUACCGGAUGGUUCCUACGGGAUAAAGAUUUAUCGCCAAAAGAUGAGUCCGCGUACGAUUAGCUAGUUGGUGAGGUAAUGGCUCACCAAGGCGACGAUCGUUAGCUGGUCUGAGAGGGCGAUCAGCCACACUGGGACUGAGACACGGCCCAGACUCCUACGGGAGGCAGCAGUGGGGAAUAUUGGACAAUGGGGGCAACCCUGAUCCAGCCAUGCCGCGUGAGUGAUGAAGGCCUUCGGGUUGUAAAGCUCUUUUGGCGGGGACGAUGAUGACGGUACCCGCAGAAUAAGCCCCGGCUAACUUCGUG